rnacentral:rRNA from 1 species
GGGCCCGCACAAGCGGUGGAGCAUGUGGUUUAAUUCGAUGAUACGCGAGGAACCUUACCAAGGCUUAAAUGUAAAACGACCGAUUGAGAAAUCAAUCUUUUUUCGAACGAUUUACAAGGUGCUGCAUGGUUGUCGUCAGCUCGUGCCGUGAGGUGUCGGGUUAAGUCCCAUAACGAGCGCAACCCCUAUUUUUAGUUGCCAGCAUUUAGUUGGGCACUCUAGAGAGACUGCCGGUGAUAAACCGGAGGAAGGUGUGGAUGACGUCAAGUCAUCAUGCCCCUUACAUCCUGGGCUACACACGUACUACAAUGCUACGGACAAAGGGCAGCAAGUUCGCGAGGACAAGCAAAUCCCAUAAACCGUGGCUCAGUUCAGAUCGUAGGCUGCAACUCGCCUACGUGAAGGCGGAAUCGCUAGUAAUCG